rnacentral:misc_RNA from 1 species
AACGCACCUUGCGCCCUUUGGUAUUCCGAAGGGCAUGCCUGUUUGAGUGUCAUUAAAUUCUCAAACCUUGAUCAGUUUUGCGACUGACUUCAAGGCUUUGGAUGUGGGAGUCUGCUGGAACUCUUUUGGUUCAGCUCUCCUCAAAUGCAUUAGCGGUUACUUGAUCCCCUUUCCUUGGUGUGAUAAUUAUCUACGCCUUUGAAAUGAUCAGCAUUGUAUCAGCUUCUAACCGUCCAUUGACUUGGACAACUACUUAAUUGACCAUUUGACCUCAAAUCAGGUAGGACUACCCGCUGAACUUAA